rnacentral:sRNA from 1 species
UGAAAUCUGUCGCUUUUUUUUGUAAAUUUUUUGCUUUUUCCAUCCGUUCUGUUGACAGCCCCACGUCGAGGACCCUGUGGCUCGGCGACCAUGCGUUCUCAUCCUAUUAUUAUUAGCGUUUGCUUGGUCCAACAGGGCCCGCAGAUUGGCCAACUGGCAUUUUCUUUAUCUCCCACGUGUUACUCUAUAUACGGAGCCUUCGUCGAAUCGGUUGUUGCCAUUUGUUAGUCAUGGUGGAGCUUGAGGCAUGGGCAUUUAUUGGACCGAAUGUAACACAAGGAGGGUAUCAGUGAUGCUGCACAUCUGCACAAUUUACUCCCCAUUCGUUGUCACUUGAGGUGCAGUAGUGUAUCAUGUGGAGAGGCUCGAGAGACCCUGGAAGAUUAGGACAAUUCUUUUCAACAAUAGGGUUGAUGUGCAUGAUCGAUGACGUUGGAUGAAAUCUGAUGGUAUUCAGUAUUGGAUAACAAAGUAAUUGAAGCAUCAAAAUAGAGUUAGUUUGACUCAAAGAUGAUACAAGACAAGUCUCAUUCUCUACACAGCUCAUUCUCUCUAUUCAGUUGCCAG